CUUCAUGGGGACUCGGUCGACUUUCCUAGUUUUGUGUGCCAGAAUAUUCUGGCUUCCUUUUGUACUCCUGGGGGUCGGAUCGGGUUGCCUUAUGCUUGUUUGAUUCAUCGGGUUGCGUUGUCUUUGGGUGCCUCUUUUCCGGAGGGUUCGACUUGUCGCAUAGGACGUCCGAUUGGACAGCAGACCAUUCAUCAGAGUCGAUCCCAUGUACUGUCAUCUUUCUCUACCGCUCCGACUGCGACCCCUGAUGUUUUUGAUCCUUCGGA
rnacentral:lncRNA from 1 species